UACAGAGGGGGCAAGCGUUGUUCGGAAUUACUGGGCGUAAAGGGCGCGUAGGCGGCCAACUCAGUCGGACGUGAAAUCCCCUGGCUCAACCAGGGAACUGCGUCCGAUACUGGCUGGCUUGAAUCCGGGAGAGGGAUGUGGAAUUCCAGGUGUAGCGGUGAAAUGCGUAGAUAUCUGGAGGAAUACCGGUGGCGAAGGCGGCAUCCUGGACCGAGAUUGACGCUGAUGAGCGAAAGCUAGGGGAGCGAACGGG
rnacentral:rRNA from 1 species